rnacentral:rRNA from 1 species
UACGGGGGGGGCAAGCGUUGUUCGGAAUUACUGGGCGUAAAGGGCGCGUAGGCGGUUUGCUAAGUUGGACGUGAAAACUCUGGGCUUAACCCAGAGCCUGCAUCCAAAACUGGCAAGCUAGAGUAUUGGAGGGGGAAGCGGAAUUCCUGGUGUAGCAGUGAAAUGCGUAGAUAUCAGGAGGAACACCGGUGGCGAAGGCGGCUUCCUGGACAAUAACUGACGCUGAGGCGCGAAAGCUAGGGGAGCAAACAGG